CCUGAAGUGGGGGAUAACCAUUGGAAACGAUGGCUAAUACCGCAUAAUGCCUACGGGCCAAAGAGGGGGACCUUCGGGCCUCUCGCGUCAGGAUAUGCCUAGGUGGGAUUAGCUAGUUGGUGAGGUAAUGGCUCACCAAGGCGACGAUCCCUAGCUGGUCUGAGAGGAUGAUCAGCCACACUGGAACUGAGACACGGUCCAGACUCCUACGGGAGGCAGCAGUGGGGAAUAUUGCACAAUGGGCGCAAGCCUGAUGCAGCCAUGCCGCGUGUGUGAAGAAGGCCUUCGGGUUGUAAAGCACUUUCAGUCGUGAGGAAGGGUAGUGUAGUUAAUAGCUGCAUUAUUUGACGUUAGCGGACAGAAGAAGCACCGGCUAACUCCGUGCCAGCAGCCGCGGUAAUACGGAGGGUGCGAGCGUUAAUCGGAAUUACUGGGCGUAAAGCGCAUGCAGGUGGUUUGUUAAGUCAGAUGUGAAAGCCCGGGGCUCAACCUCGGAAUUGCAUUUGAAACUGGCAGGCUAGAGUACUGUAGAGGGGGGUAGAAUUUCAGGUGUAGCGGUGAAAUGCGUAGAGAUCUGAAGGAAUACCGGUGGCGAAGGCGGCCCCCUGGACAGAUACUGACACUCAGAUGCGAAAGCGUGGGGAGCAAACAGGAUUAGAUACCCUGGUAGUCCACGCCGUAAACGAUGUCUACUUGGAGGUUGUGGCCUUGAGCCGUGGCUUUCGGAGCUAACGCGUUAAGUAGACCGCCUGGGGAGUACGGUCGCAAGAUUAAAACUCAAAUGAAUUGACGGGGGCCCGCACAAGCGGUGGAGCAUGUGGUUUAAUUCGAUGCAACGCGAAGAACCUUACCUACUCUUGACAUCCAGAGAACUUUCCAGAGAUGGAUUGGUGCCUUCGGGAACUCUGAGACAGGUGCUGCAUGGCUGUCGUCAGCUCGUGUUGUGAAAUGUUGGGUUAAGUCCCGCAACGAGCGCAACCCUUAUCCUUGUUUGCCAGCGAGUAAUGUCGGGAACUCCAGGGAGACUGCCGGUGAUAAACCGGAGGAAGGUGGGGACGACGU
rnacentral:rRNA from 1 species